ensembl:lncRNA
AUAAAAUCAUUUGUUUAAAAUUGCUCUAGUACUAUUAGCCCGUUCUCAAUGGGCAGUAACUGUAAGCAAGGCAUACAUGCUUGCUGACAUAUCUGUAUUUUAUUUUAUUUUAUUUUUUUCUUCAAAUCAUUCAGUCGCCUUUCAGGUCUGUGCAUCUAGAUAACGACCCAAGUGCGCGUGAAACGUAAGGAGUGUAUCGCGUGGCUGAGGCACUUGACCCUUCUCUCUGGUAUACAAUAUCUAACUGGUUAUCGGCUUAUCAAGGUUCAUAAUUAAUGAAUAGAAACAAAAGUUAUGUUUUGUUGACCUGCAGCGAUAGCAACCGGAUUGAAUCUAGUUUACACUCGUGCGAUUAAAUAACAAGCACAAGCAGCGGGGCACUAAUGAGAUAACCUAGUUAACUACACCACUGUUUUCACUUCAGCUUAACACUAUUUGUUUUUGGAUGUUUAUCUUACGCCUAGCAUGCAAUCGGUCGUAAAUAAACAAAUGUGUUUCUCUAAGGAAAGAUUUGAGGUGUGUGGCCCUUUCAUUCAAAGAUUAACUAACAAUUAAUUUAUAGUAUUAAAAAAAAAAAAAAAAAAAAAUUCCAAACGUGCAUUAACCUCCACUUUACAUUUCACUUAUUAUAUUCUUCUGGUUAUGUCAUUUGGACCAGUUACAUGAUUUCAUUAAUUAUAUUUGACUUAAAGAUAAAAUAAAGUCGUAAAGAUUAUUAAACGCAAUAUUGUUGCAUUAUUAUUUUAGCCUAGUAGCCUAGAUGUCACAACUUUUUACAGUAUUCAGCAAUGAAACGGAAAACGAAUUUGUUGCAUUGGUGAGUCAUCCCUCAAUCUAAAGCAGUUUUUAUUUAUUUUUUCUUCUUUCUGUAUGUAGGAGCGGUUGCAGUGAUUUUGUGCAAGAUCAAGCAGCAGACGUGCCGGCUUCAGCUGCUGCGUGUGUUGGUUUCUCUGCGGAGAGAGGAAACCAGACCACAGAGGCUGAGGAUGAGGCCCCGGGGAGGAGGCCCCUGUCUUGAAGUUAGGAGCUUUCUGUGGGGAAGAGGAGUCGCAGAGGUACGAGCUCGUAAUUGGGAUGUGAAAAGAGUCUGUCACUGUUUAGGUUGUACGACAUCAGUGGAAACGUCUGGCCGAUAACCAAUAGAGAGGAAAAAAUUCUUAAAUGAGAUCCCAAUUGUUUCUCCUUGACACCAGUGAGAUUUAAUGGAGAGCAAAAUUAAGUCUUCUGCCUCUCCGGUUUUUCUCCUGAGAAAAAAAAAGUUUUUUUCCCCCCUCAUCUGUCAUUUAUAUUAUACUAGGCAUGUCAUAUAAAUAUAUACAGUGUUUAACUAAAUGUAACUGAGCUACAAAUACUUUUUCCUCAUUUUUACUUUUUCCCCUCUACCAUCAUACCAGAGUUUACAUGACGAGUUUAUAUGCAAAAUCAGACAACUGAUUUUUUUAUUAUGUUAUGUUUUGUUUUAUUAUGUUAGCUGUAUUUUUUAGUUAUUUUUUACCUAAUCAAAAUAACCCAACUGCAGUUUGAUUGAGAUUAAUCGGAAUGCACAAUGAAAAAACAUGAUUUUUGAAGUUUUUUGCAAAUGAUCUCUUCAUAUAUUACCAAAUAUUACUUAUAUUACAUUAGCCAGAGUUUUAUUACUCUGGUACUGUAACAUUUAUGUCAGUGUUAAUGUUACAUUUCUUUUUACGUGUAUGUUAUAUUAAUGUGCUUUGUCCCUUUUAAAUAAAUAAAUAAAGCACAAAUGAAUAAAACUCA